AUUGAACGCUGGCGGCAUGCUUUACACAUGCAAGUCGAACGGCAGCGCGGGCUUCUGCCUGGCGGCGAGUGGCGAACGGGUGAGUAAUACAUCGGAACGUGCCCAGUAGUGGGGGAUAGCUCGGCGAAAGCCGGAUUAAUACCGCAUACGACCUGAGGGUGAAAGCGGGGGAUCUUCGGACCUCGCGCUAUUGGGGCGGCCGAUGGCAGAUUAGCUAGUUGGUGGGGUAAAGGCCUACCAAGGCGACGAUCUGUAGCUGGUCUGAGAGGACGACCAGCCACACUGGGACUGAGACACGGCCCAGACUCCUACGGGAGGCAGCAGUGGGGAAUUUUGGACAAUGGGCGAAAGCCUGAUCCAGCAAUGCCGCGUGUGUGAUGAAGGCCUUCGGGUUGUAAAGCACUUUUGGCGGGAACGAAAAGGACUGUGCCAAUACCACGGUUCGAUGACGGUACCCGCAGAAUAAGCACCGGCUAACUACGUG
rnacentral:rRNA from 1 species